GAUGAACGCUAGCGGCAGGCCUAACACAUGCAAGUCGAGGGGCAGCAUAAAACAAGCUUGCUUGUUUGGUGGCGACCGGCGCACGGGUGCGUAACGCGUAUGCAACCUACCCUGUACUGAGGGAUAGCCCGGAGAAAUUCGGAUUAAGACCUCAUAGUAUUAUCAUUUCGCAUGUUAUGAUAAUUAAAGGAUACGGUACAGGAUGGGCGUGCGUUCUAUUAGUUAGUUGGUGAGGUAACGGCUCACCAAGGCUACGAUAGGUAGGGGGCCUGAGAGGGUGGUCCCCCACACUGGUACUGAGACACGGACCAGACUCCUACGGGAGGCAGCAGUGAGGAAUAUUGGUCAAUGGGCGCAAGCCUGAACCAGCCAUGCCGCGUGCAGGAAGGAUGCCCUAUGGGUUGUAAACUGCUUUUAUUUGGGAAUAAACCUCCUUACGUGUAGGGAGCUGAAGGUACCAAAUGAAUAAGCACCGGCUAACUCCGUGCCAGCCGCCGCGGUAAAAC
rnacentral:rRNA from 1 species